GAUGAACGCUAGCGGCAGGCCUAACACAUGCAAGUCGAGGGGUAGAAUUAGCUUGCUAAUUUGAGACCGGCGCACGGGUGCGUAACGCGUAUGCAAUCUACCUUGUACAGGGGGAUAGCCCAGAGAAAUUUGGAUUAAUACUCCAUGGUAUAAUUGAAUCGCAUGGUUUGAUUAUUAAAGUUCCAACGGUACAAGAUGAGCAUGCGUCCCAUUAGCUAGUUGGCGAGGUAACGGCUCACCAAGGCUACGAUGUCUAGGGGUUCUGAGAGGAAGGUCCCCCACACUGGAACUGAGACACGGUCCAGACUCCUACGGGAGGCAGCAGUGAGGAAUAUUGGUCAAUGGGCGCGAGCCUGAACCAGCCACGUCGCGUGAAGGAUGACGGCCUUAUGGGUUGUAAACUUCUUUUACAGGGAAUAAAGUGAGUCACGUGUGUAUUUUUGCUAUGUACCCUGUGAAUAAGCAUCGGCUAACUCCGUGCCAGCAGCCGCGGUAAAC
rnacentral:rRNA from 1 species